UUGAUGGAGAGUUUGAUCCUGGCUCAGGAUGAACGCUGGCGGCGUGCUUAACACAUGCAAGUCGAACGCUGAAGCUCCUAGCUUGCUGGGGGUGGAUGAGUGGCGAACGGGUGAGUAUCACGUGAGUAACCUGCCCUUGACUCUGGGAUAAGCCUGGGAAACUGGGUCUAAUACCGGAUGAUCACUUCUCUCCGCAUGGGGGGGUGGUGUAAAGAUUGUAUCGGUCUUGGAUGGACUCGCGGCCUAUCAGUUUGUUGGUGGGGUAAUGGCCUACCAAGGCGAUGACGGGUAGCCGGCCUGAGAGGGUGACCGGCCACACUGGGACUGAGACACGGCCCAGACUCCUACGGGAGGCAGCAGUGGGGAAUAUUGCACAAUGGGCGCAAGCCUGAUGCAGCGACGCCGCGUGCGGGAUGACGGCCUUCGGGUUGUAAACCGCUUUCAGCAGGGAAGAAGCCUUGAGUUUUCUUGGGGUGACGGUACCUGCAGAAGAAGCGCCGGCUAACUACGUGCCAGCAGCCGCGGUAAUACGUAGGGCGCGAGCGUUAUCCGGAAUUAUUGGGCGUAAAGAGCUCGUAGGCGGUUUGCCGCGUCUGCUGUGAAAGCCCGGAGCUCAACUCCGGGUGUGCAGUGGGUACGGGUAGACUGGAGUGCAGUAGGGGAGACUGGAAUUCCUGGUGUAGCGGUGAAAUGCGCAGAUAUCAGGAGGAACACCGAUGGCGAAGGCAGGUCUCUGGGCUGUUACUGACGCUGAGGAGCGAAAGCAUGGGGAGCGAACAGGAUUAGAUACCCUGGUAGUCCAUGCCGUAAACGUUGGGCACUAGGUGUGGGGAGCAUUCCACGUUUUCCGCGCCGUAGCUAACGCAUUAAGUGCCCCGCCUGGGGAGUACGGCCGCAAGGCUAAAACUCAAAGGAAUUGACGGGGGCCCGCACAAGCGGCGGAGCAUGCGGAUUAAUUCGAUGCAACGCGAAGAACCUUACCAAGGCUUGACAUGGACCGGAUCGCUGCAGAGAUGUAGUUUCCCUUCGGGGCUGGUUCACAGGUGGUGCAUGGUUGUCGUCAGCUCGUGUCGUGAGAUGUUGGGUUAAGUCCCGCAACGAGCGCAACCCUUGUCCUAUGUUGCCAGCACGUCGUGGUGGGGACUCAUGGGAGACUGCCGGGGUCAACUCGGAGGAAGGUGGGGAUGACGUCAAAUCAUCAUGCCCCUUAUGUCUUGGGCUUCACGCAUGCUACAAUGGCCGGUACAGUGGGUUGCGAUACUGUGAGGUGGAGCUAAUCCCUAAAAGCCGGUCUCAGUUCGGAUCGAAGUCUGCAACUCGACUUCGUGAAGUUGGAGUCGCUAGUAAUCGCAGAUCAGCAAUGCUGCGGUGAAUACGUUCCCGGGCCUUGUACACACCGCCCGUCAAGUCACGAAAGUUGGUAACACCCGAAGCCGGUGGCCUAACCCUUGUGGGGGGAGCCGUCGAAGGUGGGACUGGCGAUUGGGACUAAGUCGUAACAAGGUAGCCGUACCGGAAGGUGCGGCUGGAUCACCUCCUUU
rnacentral:rRNA from 1 species